CCUACGGGUGGCAGCAGUGAGGAAUAUUGGUCAAUGGCCGAAAGGCUGAACCAGCCAAGUCGCGUGAAGGAAGACGGCCCUACGGUUUGUAAACUUCUUUUAUCGGGGAGUAAAGGGGUCCCCGUGUGGGUUAUUGUGUGUACCCUAUGAAUAAGCAUCGGCUAACUCCGUGCCAGCAGCCGCGGUAAUACGGAGGAUGCGAGCGUUAUCCGGAUUUAUUGGGUUUAAAGGGUGCGUAGGGUGUCGGUUAAGUCAGUGGUGAAAGUUGGAGGCUCAACCGAGAAAUUGCCUUUGAAACUGGUAGGCUUGAGAGUAGUAGAGGUAGGCGGAAUGCGUGGUGUAGCGGUGAAAUGCUUAGAUAUCAUGCAGAACUCCGAUUGCGAAGGCAGCUUACCAAGCUACAACUGACACUGAGGCACGAAAGCGUGGGGAGCAAACAGGAUUAGAUACCCUAGUAGUC
rnacentral:rRNA from 1 species